UCAGGACGAACGCUGGCGGCGUGCUUAACACAUGCAAGUCGAGCGAUGAAGUCCCUCGGGACGGAUUAGCGGCGGACGGGUGAGUAACACGUGGGUAACCUGCCUCAUAGAGGGGAAUAGCCUUCCGAAAGGAAGAUUAAUACCGCAUAAGAUUGUAGUUUCGCAUGAAACAGCAAUUAAAGGACGUAAUCCGCUAUGAGAUGGACCCGCGUCGCAUUAGCUAGUUGGUGAGGUAACGGCUCACCAAGGCGACGAUGCGUAGCCGACCUGAGAGGGUGAUCGGCCACAUUGGGACUGAGACACGGCCCAGACUCCUACGGGAGGCAGCAGUGGGGAAUAUUGCACAAUGGGGGAAACCCUGAUGCAGCAACGCCCGCGUGAGUGAUGACGGUCUUCGGAUUGUAAAGCUCUGUCUUCAGGGACGAUAAUGACGGUACCUGAGGAGGAAGCCACGGCUAACUACGUGCCAGCAGCAGC
rnacentral:rRNA from 1 species